rnacentral:tRNA from 1 species
UAGAGGUUAGUUUAUUUAAAACUUUGAUCUGUGGAGUCAAGAAUAACUGUUGUUACUUCUAA